CCUACGGGAGGCAGCAGUGAGGAAUAUUGGUCAAUGGGCGCAAGCCUGAACCAGCCAUCCCGCGUGCAGGAAGACGGCCCUAUGGGUUGUAAACUGCUUUUCCAGGGGGAGAAUUAUUCUGAUGUAUCGGGAUUUGACGGUACCCUGGGAAUAAGCAUCGGCUAACUCCGUGCCAGCAGCCGCGGUAAUACGGAGGAUGCGAGCGUUAUCCGGAUUUAUUGGGUUUAAAGGGUGCGUAGGCGGAUAGAUAAGUCAGUGGUGAAAACCUGCAGCUUAACUGUAGACUUGCCGUUGAUACUGUCAGUCUUGAGUAUGGUCAAGGUAGGCGGAAUGUGUAAUGUAGCGGUGAAAUGCUUAGAUAUUACACAGAACACCGAUUGCGAAGGCAGCUUACUGGGCCAUUACUGACGCUGAUGCACGAAAGCGUGGGGAUCGAACAGGAUUAGAUACCCUGGUAGUCG
rnacentral:rRNA from 1 species